AUUGAACGCUGGCGGCAUGCUUUACACAUGCCAGUCGAACGGCAGCGCGGGCUUCGGCCUGGCGGCGAGUGGCGAACGGGGGAGUAAUGCAUCGGAACGUGCCCAGGAGUGGGGGAUAGCCCGGCGAAAGCGGGAUUAAUACCGCAUACGACCUGAGGGUGAAAGCGGGGGAGCGAAAGGCCUCGCGCUAUUGGAGCGGCCGAUGUCGGAUUAGCUAGUUGGUGGGGUAAAGGGUUACCAAGGCGACGAUCCGUAGCUGGUCUGAGAGGACGACCAGCCACACUGGGACUGAGACACGGCCCAGACUCCUACGGGAGGCAGCAGUGGGGAAUUUUGGACAAUGGGGGCAACCCUGAUCCAGCCAUGCCGCGUGAGGGAAGAAGGCCUUCGGGUUGUAAACCGCUUUUGUUCGGGAAGAAAUCCUCUGGGCUAAUACCCCGGGGGGAUGACGGUACCGGAAGAAUAAGCACCGGCUAACUACGUG
rnacentral:rRNA from 1 species